GUAUCGUGAGUGUUCAACACCCCCAACUAAGAUCUUUUAGUACAACCUGGUUCUGCGUUUCUUUUACGCACACACGAUAUCCAAUCACAUUUGUUUGCUUUUAUGCUAUUCUUCCUUGCACAAACAACAUCCACUGAGAUUAUGCCAUUCGCUCAGAAAGCGGGUUCCUUCUGCUUUUCUUCUACAGAACAGAUCCCACCGACUUCUAUCUGUAUAUUUACUCCCUCUCCUCCGCUUCACAUCCCCACCACGACAGCCUGUUUUUUUCUUUAUUUCUUUGUAUUCUGUUAAAUCGAAUUCAAUGGCUUCUACGUCUACCACUGAUCGUCAAUCAAUGACUGAGUUCAGGGCUGGCUUAAACAGCACACACUAAGCUUUGACUUAGUGUGUGUUGUUCUAUGUGGGUCCGCCUCUCAGUUCCAUUUCCGUUUCAUCUGACCAUUUCCGUUGCCAGACAGUAAAACGUACCCGGCUGGCUCGUGUGGGCCCUCCCAACUCGUCAUGUUCACCGUUACUCCCAUUUCCCGUUAGCCCCGCCUUAAGUUGAGAUCUUUAAAACUGCUUCUCCCGCACAGCCAAUCUCCAUAUGCAUAUAAUUUCCAAUCGAGCAAUUCUCAUUUUCUCGUCUGCUCCCAGCCUAUGCGAAAUUCGAAGCUCUGAAACAGGAUAUACACAAAAUGCAUUCGUUGAAAAGGAUUUACAAACUUUCAACUAAAUGUGAUUUACAGGUGUAAAACAGAGUCUGCAACCCCUGCCAGCAUUCUCACAACCUAUGUGAAAAUGGGAGCUUUGGAACAGGGUAUGGACAUCCAUUACAGAGUGAAUGAUAGAGGAAUUUUAUAGAUUUUGCAGCUGUAACUGCUUUGGCAGACAUGUAUGCAAAAUGUGUAAGCAUAGACAAGGCACGUGAACUGAUUGACAGAACGAAUCCAAGAAAUUUGUUCUCAUGAAAUAAACAGAAUGUAGGAUAUGCAAAAUGUGGAAUCAUAGACGAGACAACUGAACUGUUUGACAGAAUGCCUCAAAGAGCAUAAUUUUCCCAAUGGAACGCUUUGAUUGCAAGAUAUUAAUAAAAUGGGUUUGUUGAAAAGGCUUUAGAACCUUGAACGGUAAAUCAUUUGUCGCUGCAUUUACUUAGAGCAGCAUGCACUUGUCACACCUUCCGUACCAUAUAUGAUAGGUAGGGGCGAUUUGUUCCUUUGGAUUUAA